AUUGAACACUGGCGGCAGGCCUAACACAUGCAAGUCGAAUGGUAACAGGAAACAGCUUGCUGUUUCGCUGACGAGUGGCGGACGGGUGAGUAAUGUCUGGGAAACUGCCUGAUGGAGGGGGAUAACUACUGGAAACGGUAGCUACUACCUCAUAACGUCGCAAGACCAAUGGGGGGGGCCUUGGGUCCUCUGUCGCUCAUGUGCGCCCAGGUGGGCUGCGCUAGUAGGUGGGGUAACGGUUCACCUAGGCGACGAGCCCUCGCUGGUGUGAGAGGAUGACCGGCCGCACGAGAGCGGGACCACGGUCCAUGCUCCUGCGAGAGGGCGCAGUGGGGAAUAUUGCACAAUGGGCGCAAGCCUGAUGCAGCCAUGCCGCGUGUAUGAAAAAGGCCUUCGGGUUGUAAAGUACUUUCAGCGGGGAGGAAGGGAGUAAAGUUAAUACCUUGGCUCAUUGACGUUACCCGCAGAAGAAGCACCGGCUAACUCCGUG
rnacentral:rRNA from 1 species